rnacentral:rRNA from 1 species
GACGAACGCUGGCGGCGUGCUUAACACAUGCAAGUCGAACGGAAAGGCCCUGCUUUUGUGGGGUGCUCGAGUGGCGAACGGGUGAGUAACACGUGAGUAACCUGCCCUUGACUUUGGGAUAACUUCAGGAAACUGGGGCUAAUACCGGAUAGGAGCUCCUGCUGCAUGGGGGGGGUUGGAAAGUUUCGGCGGUUGGGGAUGGACUCGCGGCUUAUCAGCUUGUUGGUGGGGUAGUGGCUUACGAAGGCUUUGACGGGUAGCCGGCCUGAGAGGGUGACCGGCCACAUUGGGACUGAGAUACGGCCCAGACUCCUACGGGAGGCAGCAGUGGGGAAUAUUGCACAAUGGGCGGAAGCCUGAUGCAGCAACGCCGCGUGCGGGAUGACGGCCUUCGGGUUGUAAACCGCUUUCGCCUGUGACGAAGCGUGAGUGACGGUAAUGGGUAAAGAAGCACCGGCUAACUACGUG